AGUGAACGCUGGCGGUAGGCCUAACACAUGCAAGUCGAACGGCAGCACAGUAAGAGCUUGCUCUUACGGGUGGCGAGUGGCGGACGGGUGAGGAAUACAUCGGAAUCUACUUUUUCGUGGGGGAUAACGUAGGGAAACUUACGCUAAUACCGCAUACGACCUACGGGUGAAAGCAGGGGAUCUUCGGACCUUGCGCGAUUGAAUGAGCCGAUGUCGGAUUAGCUAGUUGGCGGGGUAAAGGCCCACCAAGGCGACGAUACGUAGCUGGUCUGAGAGGAUGAUCAGCCACACUGGAACUGAGACACGGUCCAGACUCCUACGGGAGGCAGCAGUGGGGAAUAUUGCACAAAGGGCGCAAGCCUGAUCCAGCCAUACCGCGUGGGUGAAGAAGGCCUUCGGGUUGUAAAGCCCUUUUGUUGGGAAAGAAAAGCAGCAGGUUAAUACCCCGCUGUUCUGACGGUACCCAAAGAAUAAGCACCGGCUAACUUCGUG
rnacentral:rRNA from 1 species